CCAAUAGCGUAUAUUAAAGUUGUUGCAGUUAAAAAGCUCGUAGUUGAAUUUCGGGGUCUGUCCAUUGGUCGGGCUUCACGGUCCGUACUGGUGAGAUGGGUUCCUACCUUCUGAAUAACCAGCAUGCCAUUCAGUUGGUGCGCCGGGGAAGCAGAGCUAUUACCUUGAAAAAAUUAGAGUGCUUAAAGCAGGCUAGUGCUUGAAUAGAUUAGCAUGGAAUAAUAAAAUAGGACGGCAUGGUUCUAUUUUGUUGGUUUCUAGGAUCACCGUAAUGAUUAAUAGGGAUAGUUGGGGGCAUUAGUAUUCAAUUGUCAGAGGUGAAAUUCUUGGAUUUAUUGAAGACUAACUUCUGCGAAAGCAUUUGCCAAGGAUGUUUUCAUUAAUCAAGAACGAAAGUUAGGGGAUCGAAGACGAUCAGAUACCGUCGUAGUCUUAACCAUAAACUAUGCCGACUAGGGAUCGGACGAUGUUAAUUUUUUAAUGACUCG
rnacentral:rRNA from 1 species